UUUUAAUAUUUUUUUUUUUUUUUUUUUUUUUGACAAGGGACACAAGAAAUGCAGUCCGUGGCACCAUUUCCCUCAGAAUACUUAACUUUUUCUAGUCCUCAGUAACUGCUGCUAAACCAAACAAACUAAUGCAUAAACAGGCCUUGGAUUUCUGUGUCCUGAACUUCAUUUUAAUUUGUUUUUGGUAAGCCUUUGUCUCUCUGGAGACCACUAUGUUAAGGUUGUGCAUCUUACCAGACUCCCAAAAGCAAGAGUAAGACAACCUGGUCCUGUCCAUACUCUUGCAAAAGUGUAUAUAAUGCUUACUGCAAAGACUGUGUUAUCUAAUCCCUCAAGAGCACUUAAGGACAGUAAGACUAUGAAGAGACAGAGAACAACAACUGAAGUUCCACCGCAAGCUAAAAGAAGACUAAAAAUACGUGUGAAAAAGGAAAGGAUGG
rnacentral:lncRNA from 1 species